rnacentral:rRNA from 1 species
UACAGAGGCCUCAAGCGUUGUUCGGAUUCAUUGGGCGUAAAGGGUGCGUAGGCGGCGUGGUAAGUCGGAUGUGAAAUCUCGGAGCUUAACUCCGAAACUGCAUUCGAUACUGCCGUGCUUGAGGACUGGAGAGGAGACUGGAAUUUACGGUGUAGCGGUGAAAUGCGUAGAUAUCGUAAGGAAGACCAGUGGCGAAGGCGGGUCUCUGGGACGGUACUGACGCUGAGACGCGAAAGCGUGGGGAGCGAACAGG